rnacentral:lncRNA from 1 species
AUCCGACUACCUUUACGUUGUGAAAUAAAAGGAGGAUGAAUCGAUCCGAGCCUUUGUUGGCCAUUUCAAUGCAGCUACUUUGAAAGUUAGCAACCUAGACCAGUCGGUCGCAAUAUCCGCAAUGAUAAGCGAACUCCUGAAAAAUAACCUCGAGAGAUCACUGGUGAAGACCUAUCCUCGAGAUUAUCUCAAUAUGCUAGCCCGAGCG